UGCAGUCGAACGAAGUAGCAAUACUUAGUGGCAGACGGGUGAGUAACAUGUGGGUAUCUACCCUUUGGCCUGGAAUAACACGAGGAAACUUGUGCUAAUACCGGAUAAGUCUUUACGGAGAAAGCUUUAUGCACCAUUGGAUGAGCCCGCACUUGAUUAGUUUGUUGGUAGGGUAAUGGCCUACCAAGACUGUGAUCAAUAGCUGAUUUGAGAGGAUGAUCAGCCACAUUGGGACUGAGACACGGCCCAAACUCCUACGGGAGGCAGCAGUGGGGAAUCUUGCACAAUGGAGGAAACUCUGAUGCAGCGAUGCCGCGUGAGUGAAGAAGGCCCUUGGGUUGUAAAGCUCUUUCGUCGGGGAAGAAAAUGACUGUACCCGAAUAAGAAGGUCCGGCUAACUUCGUGCCAGCAGCCGCGGUAAUACGAAGGGACCUAGCGUAGUUCGGAAUUACUGGGCUUAAAGAGUUCGUAGGUGGUUGAAAAAGUUGGUGGUGAAAUCCCAGAGCUUAACUCUGGAACUGCCAUCAAAACUUUUCAGCUAGAGUAUGAUAGAGGAAAGCAGAAUUUCUAGUGUAGAGGUGAAAUUCGUAGAUAUUAG
rnacentral:rRNA from 1 species